AACUCGAUCUCAAAUCAAGUAAGACUACCCGCUGAACUUAAGCAUAUCAAUAAGCGGAGGAAAAGAAACUAACAAGGAUUCCCCUAGUAACGGCGAGUGAAGCGGGAUGAGCUCAAAUUUAAAUCUGGCCGGUUUACUAGUCCGAAUUGUAGUUUAUAGAAGCGUUUUCGGUGGCAGCCUGGGUAUAAAUCCUUUGGAAUAGGGUAUCAUAGAGGGUGAGAAUCCCGUCUUUGACUCAGUGCAUGCUACUAUGUGAUACGUUUUCAAAGAGUCGAGUUGUUUGGGAAUGCAGCUCAAAAUGGGUGGUAAAUUUCAUCUAAAGCUAAAUAUUGGCGAGAGACCGAUAGCGAACAAGUACCGUGAGGGAAAGAUGAAAAGAACUUUGAAAAGAGAGUUAAACAGUGCGUGAAAUUGUUGAAAGGGAAACGUUUGACACCAGUUAUGCGGGUGGAAAAUCAGUCUUUUGCAAUGGGGAGUUGUGGGCGUUCAGACCGCAAGGCUGGCGUUUGCUUCAUCUUUGUUGUAAGUGAUGCACUUUUUCAUUUGCAGGUCAACAUCAGUUUGCUUUGCUGGACAAAACCCCAAGGGAAGGUGGCAGCUUANGCUGUGUUAUAGCCCUGGGGCGAUACAGUGGAGUGGACUGAGGUUUCGCANUGUGUGCUCUCGGGCAAG
rnacentral:rRNA from 1 species